rnacentral:rRNA from 1 species
GAUGAACGCUGGCGGCGUGCCUAAUACAUGCCAGUCGAGCGAACAGACGAGGAGCUUGCUCCUCUGACGUUAGCGGCGGACGGGUGAGUAACACGUGGAUAACCUACCUAUAAGACUGGGAUAACUUCGGGAAACCGGAGCUAAUACCGGAUAACAUAUUGAACCGCAUGGUUCAAUAGUGAAAGACGGUUUUGCUGUCACUUAUAGAUGGAUCCGCGCCGCAUUAGCUAGUUGGUAAGGUAACGGCUUACCAAGGCAACGAUGCGUAGCCGACCUGAGAGGGUGAUCGGCCACACUGGAACUGAGACACGGUCCAGACUCCUACGGGAGGCAGCAGUAGGGAAUCUUCCGCAAUGGGCGAAAGCUUGACGGAGCAACGCCGCGUGAGUGAUGAAGGUCUUCGGAUCGUAAAACUCUGUUAUUAGGGAAGAACAAAUGUGUAAGUAACUAUGCACGUCUUGACGGUACCUAAUCAGAAAGCCACGGCUAACUACGUG